UACACAUGCAAGUCGAACGAUGAUGCCCAGCUUGCUGGGCGGAUUAGUGGCGAACGGGUGAGUAAUACGUGAGUAACCUGCCCUUGACUCUGGGAUAAGCCUGGGAAACUGGGUCUAAUACUGGAUACUACCUCNUNCCGCAUGGUGGGUGGUGGAAAGGGUUUUACUGGUUUUGGAUGGGCUCACGGCCUAUCAGCUUGUUGGUGGGGUAAUGGCUCACCAAGGCGACGACGGGUAGCCGGCCUGAGAGGGUGACCGGCCACACUGGGACUGAGACACGGCCCAGACUCCUACGGGAGGCAGCAGUGGGGAAUAUUGCACAAUGGGCGGAAGCCUGAUGCAGCGACGCCGCGUGAGGGAUGACGGCCUUCGGGUUGUAAACCUCUUUCAGUAGGGAAGAAGCGAGAGUGACGGUACCUGCAGAAGAAGCGCCGGCUAACUACGUGCCAGCAGCCGCGGUAAUACGUAGGGCGCAAGCGUUGUCCGGAAUUAUUGGGCGUAAAGAGCUCGUAGGCGGUUUGUCGCGUCUGCUGUGAAAGCCCGGGGCUCAACCCCGGGUCUGCAGUGGGUACGGGCAGACUAGAGUGCAGUAGGGGAGACUGGAAUUCCUGGUGUAGCGGUGAAAUGCGCAGAUAUCAGGAGGAACACCGAUGGCGAAGGCAGGUCUCUGGGCUGUUACUGACGCUGAGGAGCGAAAGCAUGGGGAGCGAACAGGAUUAGAUACCCUGGUAGUCCAUGCCGUAAACGUUGGGCACUAGGUGUGGGGGA
rnacentral:rRNA from 1 species